rnacentral:rRNA from 1 species
GACGGAGGAUGCAAGUGUUAUCCGGAAUCACUGGGCGUAAAGCGUCUGUAGGUGGUUUAAAAAGUCUACUGUUAAAGCUUGAAGCUUAACUUCAAAAAUGCCGUAGAAACUUUUAAACUUGAGUAUGGUAGGGGUAGAGGGAAUUUCCAGUGGAGCGGUGAAAUGCGUAGAUCUUGGAAAGACCACCAAUGGCGAAGGCACUCUACUGGGCCAUAACUGACACUAAGAGACGAAAGCUAGGGGAGCAAAUGGG